UGUGGUCAAAUCAUAUUGAAACACCAGUUCUUGUACGAUCACUGAAGUUAAGCAACAUCAAGCCUAGUCAGUAACUAGAUGGGUAAUUGCUUGGGAAUACCAGGUGAUGUAAG